AACAACGCAAAUCAGCCAUGAGUAUACGUAUGUCCCCUCACUCGACCCUCCCCUCACACUCCUCUAGGUUAAUAAAGACUGUAUUUUAAGGGAUGUGCAUCCCCUCUCAAAUUCACAAAGAAGGUGAGAAAAAGAACAGACAGACAAGAAAAAGAAAUAUUGGAGAAGUGUAGAAGGUGUGUGACCAAUCACCAGAAGAAGUGAAAUCUGAGGAGUCAUUAAAAUUAUGGUAAUGUUAUUAAUGAGAAUGAUAUGCAUACAUUUGUAUAGAAUUGUAACAUGUCUAGUUUCUUUUUUUUUUUUACAUUAUUAUCUCAUUAGACCUUCAGGAUAACCCUGUAGGAUAGACAGAACACAAGUUUCAUGUGAAGAGAUGGAUUUAGUCGAACAAUAUGUCUUUUUGACCUCUGUGAACAUAGCAAAUUUCAUUGUAAAUGAUUUAAGGAAAUAUGCCCAUCUGAAAAAUUUAUUAGUUGGCAUUUUGCUUUAAGUUGUCAGACUGUACCACUAAGGAGCUUAAUGCCCAUUAGUGGUUCACCAGUUAGGGUCAGAAUCAGCCAAUGUUACUCUGGAGCAAAUGGAAAAACAAAAUGAGUUUCUGUGAACUGGGGGUUUUGCUCCAUGUGGGCUUGAGCAUGGUCUUGAAGCGUUUAUUAAGCUUAAAAUCUGGCCAAAGCAACAGGUGCUAAGCAUUUGAUUCUAAACAUCUGUCUUUCUCUCUUCUUUAUAGUAUAUCUACAUGUUGAAACAGACACAGAGCUGGAAGAUGGGAAGCGGAUCAGAAAUGCCCUAGGUUGGUUGCAGUUGUACCUAUCAACCAUUACCCAGCUCUUACUCCAGGACUCCGAACACUUUUUGUGGAACAGACUUUGCUGUGUCCGGUUCCUGGUGCCACCAUCCUCUGCACAGCAUCCUGUACCUGUAGAUUCUGCAGAAGCUCCUGCUUCAUUUCCUGCUGGAAUGGAAUGAUUCAGGAUCCCCCACUGUCCAUCAUCCCUGAGGGGGAGCAGUACUGAAGAAGAGCUUCUCAU
rnacentral:lncRNA from 1 species